ensembl:lncRNA LINC02696 long intergenic non-protein coding RNA 2696
GUUGCCCUAGCGCCCCUUGGAAGCCAAGAAUAUGAGGAAGUCUUCUUCCUUCGCGCCUUCUUCUUCCUUACGCUCCAGGGCAGCCUGACAGAGCCGCUCGAAGGCUCUGCUGGCCGCGGCUAGCCGAUUUUCCCCUUCGCCAAUCAGCAGUUGCAAAAAGUCCUCCAGGAAAAGUCUGGAUGCCAGAAAGCCGUACCUGAGGGAGGCAGAAUUGCAUGGCAGUGGGCUACAUGGGCUCCAGAGUUGGCCAAUGUGUGGCCUCUAACAAGUAUCUUGCCUCCUCUAUGCCUCAGUUUCCUUCUCUGUAAAGUGUGGGUGAUGAUGUUUACUUUUUAGUUGUCAUGAAGGUGAGGGAUGAUGAUGCUUAGCACAGUGUCUGACACUUUACAGCAAGCGCCACGAUCCACUGUUGUCAUCGGGACUUUUGUCAUCCUCAGUGCUGCCACACGUUUGCCCUGGGUCCUUGAGCAAAUUGGCUCUUUUCUGUGGCCCCCUUGUUCCUCAUCUGCCAACUGAACUCUCCGCAGUUAAUAACUCCAGCGACACUCGAAAAAACAACAAAAGCAGUUGAACAGCAAAAACAACAAUCCAAAAACCCACCCUGAUUCCUGGGUAGGAUAACGUCAUUUCGCUCAGGACUGCUCUCAGUAAGUGGGCCUUUCCUGUCAGAAGAGCCUGGAACCUCUCUGUUCCUCAGAGCUGCCAACACUGGCCUUGUUCUGUGGUCUGAUCUGCUGGCGACCUCUGUCCGCACACUUCUGAGACUGGCCAGGGGCCCUGGCACAGUCACACUGCACAGCCCGCCAAAUCGAAAGGUCCUUUCUUUUGAGCAAAUAGCAUCAUACACGUUGCCAUCAAGAAAAUGAAAGCAUUUGCAGUGGCGCAGCAUCCAGCUUCUCUCUGUGGCCUUUGGAAACAAUUUUGUGACCAGAGAAUGGUUGGAGACAAAGGUCUUUCUAUCUGAUCUGCUCACCAGGCUGGCAUGGGAUCGUGGGGGGCCUAUGUCCCUCUUUCCUGGCACCACAUGGAUUGCUAUCACUGCAUUUGUCUCCUCUCUUUGAUUAGGACAAGACAGGCAGGCAGGCAGAGGGUUGUAUUUCAACUGCCCUUGACUCUGUUUAUAAUCACAAACAUGAAAGGAAGGGGAAGAGAUUGAGUUUAUAGGACUGGUUCUUUGUGUAGCCUAAUUUAUCUCUCUCAGGCAGCAGUGGGCCGAGCGAGUUUCCUUUUUGUUUCCAAUGCAGGAAACUGAAAUAUGAAUCUAUGUUGAUGAGAGAAUAAAGGAAUUGAAAGAGGCAUAAAUCUUAUCUUCUCGCAACCCUAGAAGAUCAGCUUCUUGUGAAGAAGGGGAUUAUACUUCUGUAAUUAACUGCUUUGCAGCUCCUGGUGAUGGCUCAGAGCUGAAUAAUAGCACCCAGCCAAGUUGGAUAAAAGGCUGUUGGAUGGGCAGGUGCGGCCGCUCAUCGUGAACAAUGGUCUCAGGGCUUGACAUCUUUUUCCAGUGCCCCGUGCUCAGAGAGUCCAACCAGGGGAUAUUUGUUCCCUGUCUAUCAACAUUCACAGCAGAGAAUAAAAUUCCAGAACAAAUAGCUCAAAGAGACCUGUUUCACUGGAGGCCAGUAGCUGCAAUGAGCUGCCUUGAAGGACCAACCCAGAUUCUACACCUCUUUGUGUUCCGACCAGUGCCCGGGACCUGUUAGGGGCUUAUGGAACGCUGGUUGGCAGUGACUGCUUCUCAGCCGCUGUGCUGUCUCAGGAAAGUUGCGUGAGUUCUCUGAUCUUCAGAGUUAACCGUCCACACAAUGCAAGGGGUUCUUAUGGAAUUCUUAUGAGGAAGAAAUCAGAUCAUGAGUGUAAACAAAUUACUUAGUACAGUGCCUGGCACAGGGCAGGUGAUCAAUAAAUGGUAGCUAUUAUUAUUAAAUUGUGAAAUAAAAAUGGAUCGCGGACACA